UGGCUCAGAUUGAACGCUGGCGGCAGGCCUAACACAUGCAAGUCGAGCGGUAGCACAGAGAGCUUGCUCUCGGGUGACGAGCGGCGGACGGGUGAGUAAUGUCUGGGAAACUGCCUGAUGGAGGGGGAUAACUACUGGAAACGGUAGCUAAUACCGCAUAACGUCGCAAGACCAAAGUGGGGGACCUUCGGGCCUCAUGCCAUCAGAUGUGCCCAGAUGGGAUUAGCUAGUAGGUGGGGUAACGGCUCACCUAGGCGACGAUCCCUAGCUGGUCUGAGAGGAUGACCAGCCACACUGGAACUGAGACACGGUCCAGACUCCUACGGGAGGCAGCAGUGGGGAAUAUUGCACAAUGGGCGCAAGCCUGAUGCAGCCAUGCCGCGUGUGUGAAGAAGGCCUUCGGGUUGUAAAGCACUUUCAGCGGGGAGGAAGGCGAUGAGGUUAAUAACCUCAUCGAUUGACGUUACCCUGCAGAAGAAGCAC
rnacentral:rRNA from 1 species